UUUUUUAGAUGCGACGUGGAGAAGACUGUCUCAAUCUAAAAUCCUCUCUAUUUCAAAAUGAUUAGAUCUGAAUUUCUCUCGCCUUGACACCCAGCCAUUAGCCAAAUAACCCAAUAAUUUUAGAUUUUAUAGCACAGAUAAAUAAGUAUAGCAGAUCCAAAUAUUUGAUUUAGGGUUCUCAGGUUCAACAUUAUUUUUCUCUCAGAUGCGAUUUAGAUUGUAUGGCACAAGAAUACGAGAACCAAAUAUUUGAUUUAGGGUUUUCAUCUUCAACAACAUAUAGCUGAAUUCAUGGUCUGUUCCAGCAAUAAUCAUCUACUCAUUCGCAUAGUCACUCAACAACCAAAGCCCAAUUUACCAGCCAUGGACGAUGCUCAGCUCAAGUCUGACGACCUCAUGGACCAAAUGAAACUCCUGAGCAAAGGUAUAUAUGAAAGUGAAAAACCUGAUGCCACCUUUUCUUUCAAGGAUGAAGAUUUGUUAAGGUCUCCAUUGGCAAGUUGAACCCCCAGAUUGCUUUCAUGAGGGGUGCAAUGAAGAUUAAGGGCAGUCUCAGCGUGCCUUGGAAAUUUACUCAUGACAGUUUUCCCAAGCCUUCAAAAAUGUGAGAGUACACAAAACCAAUGAUUUAUGUGGGAGGGUGAUUUACUAGACAGUUAUUUCAAUUUUCUAUAAAGCUACGAUUUUGUAGAUUGAUACUAUUUCACACCCAUAUUAGGAAAUUGAUAAUAAUCUGAAACCAUCCUUCAACAUAUGGGGUAUUUGAUUGAAAGUUUUUACUCCUAAAGGAAUUUUAAAUUUAAUUUUCCUUUCCGAAUCAUCUCAAGCUCACUUGUCUCUUUGAUUGAAAUCAUAAGCAUUCGAGGAUCUGUAAUUUUUUUAUGUACCUUCAUAGUUAGCUUAUCUCACUAUUAAGUUUAAACAAUUUUUGUGGAUUGGUUGUUAAUCUCAAGCAUUACGCACCAAUGCAUAAUUCUUAGUUUC